AACGAACGCUGGCGGCAGGCUUAACACAUGCAAGUCGAACGCACCUUUCGGGGUGAGUGGCAGACGGGUGAGUAACGCGUGGGAAUCUACCCUUCUCUACGGGAUAGCUCCGGGAAACUGGAAUUAAUACCGUAUACGUCCUGAGGGAGAAAGAUUUAUCGGGGAAGGAUGAGCCCGCGUUGGAUUAGCUAGUUGGUGGGGUAAAGGCCUACCAAGGCGACGAUCCAUAGCUGGUCUAAGAGGAUGAUCAGCCACAUUGGGACUGAGACACGGCCCAAACUCCUACGGGAGGCAGCAGUGGGGAAUAUUGGACAAUGGGCGCAAGCCUGAUCCAGCCAUGCCGCGUGAGUGAUGAAGGCCCUAGGGUUGUAAAGAUAUUUCAGUGGGGACGAUAAUGACGGUACCCACAGAAGAAGCCCCGGCUAACUUCGUG
rnacentral:rRNA from 1 species